UACAGAGGCCUCAAGCGUUAGGCGGAAUCACUGGGCUUAAAGCGUGUGUAGGUGGAUGCCUAAGUACCUUGUGAAAUCCCACGGCUUAACCAUGGAAUUGCUUGGUAUACUGGGUGUCUUGAGCCACUCAGGGGCUACCGGAACAAACGGUGGAGCGGUGAAAUGCGUAGAUAUCGUGUGGAACGCCAAUGGUGAAAACAGGUAGCUGGGGGUGUGCUGACACUGAGACACGAAAGCCAGGGGAGCAAACGGG
rnacentral:rRNA from 1 species